rnacentral:misc_RNA from 1 species
GCCAAACAAAACAUAUUAAACUUAAAACACUUACCAAGGACCCAUUAUCAGUCCUAAAUAAGAAUAAAAUUUGAAAUCUAUUUUUUUUCUUUUUGCGCACAUUCCCAUUAGCAAACAAUAUCUUACUUGUCAAUUAAAGCUAUGUGUUACCAUUCAAGAUUGAACUAAAGCAUAAUAGGCAAUCUAGAAAACCUUACUUUACACACACACCAAAAAGCAAAGUAGAUAGUAACCUUAAAUCCCAAAACCACAGAUAGACACCAAAAAAGAGGUAGGCAAUAACCUUGAAUCCCAAAUGUUGGAAGCUAACAGGCCUAUUCACUUAUUGAAUGAAACUGACCACUCCAACCAACUCAACCUGACCCAAACAAAUGUAUCAGUUUGAAUCCCAACUACUGGUCGGAUUGGUUAAUGUACUUCAAAAGAUUACUUUUUUGGUUGGUUUAGAGAAUUAUUUGUUAAGACCUGAUUCUCACUUUCUAAUCGCUAACUUCUUCUGCAAUUUCACAGCUUCCAUAGAAACUUUGCUUGCGUCUUUGUGCCCAUAAGGCUCAAGGCGCACUAAGAUGCCAAGGGAUCUUAGAGCCUAGGGGCAAGGCACAGGCG